rnacentral:rRNA from 1 species
AAAUUGAAGAGUUUGAUCAUGGCUCAGAUUGAACGCUGGCGGCAGGCCUAACACAUGCAAGUCGAACGGUAACAGGAAGAAGCUUGCUUCUUUGCUGACGAGUGGCGGACGGGUGAGUAAUGUCUGGGAAACUGCCUGAUGGAGGGGGAUAACUACUGGAAACGGUAGCUAAUACCGCAUAACGUCGCAAGACCAAAGAGGGGGACCUUCGGGCCUCUUGCCAUCGGAUGUGCCCAGAUGGGAUUAGCUUGUUGGUGGGGUAACGGCUCACCAAGGCGACGAUCCCUAGCUGGUCUGAGAGGAUGACCAGCCACACUGGAACUGAGACACGGUCCAGACUCCUACGGGAG